GUCCUUAAGAUUUUAAUUUAAGGUCUAAUCUGCCCACUGAAUAUUUAAAUGGCUGCAGGAUUUUUUACUGUACAAAGGUAGCAAAAUAAUUUGUUUUUUAAUUAAAAACUGGAAUGAAAGAUUGAAUGAAAUAUAAACUGUUUCAGUUAAAUUAUAUUAAAUUUUUUAUUUUUGUAAAAAAACUUAAAUAUUUAUUAAAGACGACAAGACCCUAUAGAAUUUUAUUUGAUUAAUUUAAAUUUAGGUUAAUUAAAUUUUGUUGGGGUAAUAGAAAAAUUAAAUAAAUUUUUUUUUAAAAAAACAUUUUUAAUGAAUUAUAUAAUUUAAUUUUUAGAAUUAAUAAUUAAUUACCUUAGGGAUAACAGCAUAAUUUUUUUUGAAAGAUCAUAUUAAUAAAAAAGAUUGU
rnacentral:rRNA from 1 species